rnacentral:rRNA from 1 species
UACGUAGGGUCCGAGCGUUGUCCGGAAUUACUGGGCGUAAAGAGCUCGUAGGUGGUUUGUCGCGUUGUUCGUGAAAACUCACAGCUUAACUGUGGGCGUGCGGGCGAUACGGGCAGACUGGAGUACUGCAGGGGAGACUGGAAUUCCUGGUGUAGCGGUGGAAUGCGCAGAUAUCAGGAGGAACACCGGUGGCGAGGGCGGGUCUCUGGGCAGUAACUGACGCUGAGGAGCGAAAGCGUGGGGAGCGAACAGG